rnacentral:rRNA from 1 species
GUAGGGAAUAUUGGACAAUGGGGGCAACCCUGAUCCAGCGACGCCGCGUGAGUGAUGAAGGCCUUCGGGUCGUAAAGCUCUGUUGCAGGGGAAGAACACAAUGACGGUACCCUGCUAGAAAGGAUCGGCUAACUUCGUGCCAGCAGCCGCGGUAAGACGAGGGAUCCUAGCGUUGUUCGGAAUUAUUGGGCGUAAAGCGGGCGUAGGUGGCUUGGUAAGUCAGGUGUGAAAGCCCAGGGCUCAACCCUGGAAGUGCAUGUGAUACUGCUGAGCUUGAGUGUCGGAGAGGUUACCGGAAUACCUGGUGUAGUGGUGAAAUACGUAGAUAUCAGGUGGAACACCGGAGGCGAAGGCGGGUAACUGGACGAACACUGACACUGAGGCCCGAAAGCGUGGGGAUCAAACAGGAUUAGAAACCCGAGUAGUCC